rnacentral:siRNA from 1 species
UGCCCUUCAAUAUCACAAGUGC